CCCAACUCUAACCUGUUAUUGUCUUCUACAGCUGGGGAGAAUGGAAAUCCAUCCAUUGGUGUCUACGGGGUUUCAUAGUGGCAUUUACUCUAAGAGUUGAAGAAUACAAAACUGUGGGUGAUAACACAGCGGCGAACAACAUCAAUGUUAUGUGUUCGGAAGGAGAGUAUUUGGAAGGAGAAGGGAUGAUAUGGGGCUCUUAUGGUGCAUGGAGUAAUCGUUGUCACAAUGGAAUCUGCGGGAUACAGACCAAGGUUCAAGAAGAUCAAGGUCUUUUAGCUGAUGAUACAGCUCUGAAUGACGUCUGCUUUUUAUGUUGCUAACGUGAAAAGAUUCAGUGCCAUUCUUCCCAACAGGGUCUUUGAUGGUUUUUGGGAUAUCUGAUUUCUAAGGUAACUUGGCACAUCCGCUGAAGAUCGGGAAACGUGUUUAGUGCAAGCAGUAGGAAAUGUAAAUCUUCACACAAAUAGCACCUUGAAUCUACACAGUAUCGAAUCUGAGAUUCAUCUGAAAAAGGGCAGGCUAAAUUUAAAGGAACACAU